rnacentral:tRNA from 1 species
GCCGACGUAGCUCAGCUCGGCAGAGCAAUCGCCUUGUAAGCGAAAGGUCGUGGGUUCGAAUCCCACCGUCGGCC